rnacentral:tRNA from 1 species
GCCCCUGUCGUCUAGUUUGGAUAGGAUAUGAGCUUGCGGAGCUUAAGGCUAGGGUUCAAAAGGUCUGCGAAGAGAAGCGCGGCUUUGAAAGUCCCUGCAGGGGCG